AUUUAUUUACUUCAAGAGUUAAGAGUGGCGGUUUGGGGAUAGCACGAGGAGAUAUCAGCUGUGAUGGCUUGGAGAAACAGUGUAAACCGGCAGUGUAAACAAGAGCAGGGCAUGUAUGAGUAGUUGAGAACGGAGAAUAGGAGUAUGACUAGACAGAAGAUAGUAGGGAUGACAAGUUUUUUUUGGGGCACACUCUAAGUUGGUCCGGUGUUUGGAAUGAGACUGGGGCCUAAUAAAAAGGAGCAUCUAUACAGGAGCCCAAAUGGGCUGUACCUUGUAGCAUUCUGAGGACGGGUCUGACUUCUGAGAAGGGAAAGUGGUAAAAGUAUUGUCCAGUUCUUUUUAAGUUGGUGGCUGAGCUUGGUGAGGUGUGUUUUUGAAAGACCUUUAGUCCGUUCUACUUUUCUUGAAGACAGACGACUAUAAGGGAUAUAAAGGUUUCACUGAAUACUAAGAGCCUGAAAAACUGCUUGGCUGAUUUGACUAAUAAAGGUUGGUCUGUUAUCAGACUGUAUAGAGGUGGGAAGGCUAAACUGAGGGAUUAUGUCUGACAGAAGGGAAGAAAUGACUGCAGUGGCCUUCUCAGACCCUGUAGGAAAGGCCUCUACCUAUCUAGUGAAAGUGUCUACUUAGACUAAGAGGUAUUUUAGUUUUUGUGACUCAGGGCAUGUUGAGUAAAGCUAAUUUGCCAGUUCCGGGGGCGGGGGCAGGGGGCAAAUCCUCAAGUUUGAUGUGUAGGGAAGGGAGGGGUCCUGAAUAAUCCUUGAGGAGUAGUAGAAUAGCAGAUAGAAUAGCAGAUGGAACACUGAGAAAUUAUUUCCUUGAGGAUAGAUUUCUACAAUGGAAAGGAAAUGAGAGGUUCUAAGAGGCGGGCUAGUGGCUUGUACUAUAGCAUAGCCUGCCUUUGCUGGUGUGUGGCGAUUAGGCCUGGUGGAACUGCCAUCAAUAAAUCAAGCGUGAUCAGGGUGAGGAACAGGAAAGAAGGAAAUAUGGGGAAAUGUGGUGAAUGUCAGGUGGAUCAGAGACAUACAGUCAUGGGGGUCAGGUGUGGUAUCAGGAAUAAUGUGGGAGGCCAGAUUGAAGUCUGGGCCAGGAACAAUGGUAAUUGUGGGACUUAACAAAGAGUGAGUACAGCUGAAGGAGCCGGGGAGCAGAAAGUAUAUGCAUCAGGUAUGAGGAAGAAAAUAGAUUUUGGAAGUUAUGAGAAAUGUAGAGAGUAAGUUGAGCAUAGUUUAUGAUUUUUAGGGCCUCUAAAAGUAUUAGGGUGGCAGCAGCCGCUGCACGGAGACAUGAGGGCUAGGCUAAAACAGUAAGGUCAAGUUGUUUGGACAGAAAGGCUACAGGGUGCGGUCCUGGCUCUUGUGUAAGAAUUCUGACCACACUAACCAUGCCUAGGAAGGAAAGGAGUUGUUGUUUUGUAAGGGAUUGAGGUUGGGGAGAUUAAUUGGACACGAUCAGCAGGGAGAGCACCUGUGUUUUUAUGAGAAUUAUGCUGAGAUAGGUAACAGAUGAGGGUGAAAUUUGGGCUUGACUGAAGUAAUGGGGGCUGUCUGUGAAGCCUUGCGGCAGUACAGCCCAGGUAAUUUGCUGAGCCUAAUGGGUGUUAGGGUCAGUCCAGCUGAAAGCGAAGAGAGGCUGGGAUGAUGGGUGCAAAGGAAUAGUAAAGAAAACAUGUUUGAGAUCCAGAACAGAAUAAUGGAUUGUGGAGGGAGGUAUUGAGGAUAGGAGAGUAUAUGGGUUUGGCACCAUAGGGUGGAUAGGCAAAACAAUUUGGUUGAUAAGGCAUAGAUCCCGAACUAACUUGGAAGGCUUGUCUGGUUUUAGGACAGGUAUAAUGGGGGAAUUGUAAGGAGAGUUUAUAGGCUUUAAAAGGCCAUGCUGUAGCACGCAAGUGAUAACAGGCUUUAAUCCUUUCAAAGCAUGGUGUGGGAUGAGAUAUUGGCAUUGAGCGGGGUAAGGGUGAUUAGGUUUUAAUGAGAUAGUAAGGGGUGCAUGAUCAGUUACCAAGGAGGGAGUAGAGGUAUCUUAUUCCUGUGGGUUAAGGUGGGGGAAUACAAGAGGAGGACGCAAAGGAGGCUUUGGAUUGGGAAGAAGGGCAGCAAUGAGAUGUAGCUGUAAUCCAGGACUAGUCAGGGAAGCAGAUAAUUUAGUUAAAGUGUCUCGGCCUAAUAAGGGAACUGAGCAGGUGGGGAUAACUAAAAGAGUGCUUAGAAGAGUAUUGUCUCAGUUGGCACCAGAGUUGGGGAGUUUUAAGAGGUUUAGAAGCCUGGCCGUCAAUACCUACAACAGUUACGGAGGCAAGGGAAACAGGCCCUUGAAAAGAAGGUAAUGUGGAGUGGGUAGGCUCCAUAUUGAUUAAGGGGACGGACUUACCUUCCACUGUGAGAGUUACUCGAAGCUCAGCGUCUGUGAUGAUCUAUGGGGCUUUCGAGGUGAUCGGGCAGCGUCAGUCUUCAGCUGCUAAGCCGAGAAGGAGUCAGAGAGCCUUGGGCCAGAAUUCCAGGGGCUCUGGGAGUGCCUGCCAGGCUGGAGGGCAAUGGCGUGGUUUUGCUCACUGCAACCUCCGCCUUCCAGGUUCAAGGAUUCUUCUGCAUCAGCCUUGCAAUUAGCUAGGAAUACAGAAAAAUGGAAGAGGAAGCAACACUUCUCAACUUAUUAUAUGAGGCCAGCAUUGCCUAGUUAUCAAAACCAGAUAUAGUAUAAGAAAAAAAUCUAUAGACCAUUAAAAUGCAAAUUUUAAUAGAGUACUAGAAAAUUGAACCUAUCAAUACAGUUGACCCUUGAGCAACAUGGGUUUCAACUACAUGGAUCCACUUAUAUUAGGAUUUUCUUCUGCAUUUGCCACCUUUGAGAACAAUCUUUCUCUUGCCACCUCUUUCUCAGUUUACUAAAUGUGAAGACGACGAGAAUGAAGACCUUUAUGAUUACCCAUUUUAACUUAAUUCAGUGAAGCUUUUCUGUAAGAUACUGCAAUGGUAGCUACAUAUCAUUAUACAUUUGUCAAAAUUGGUAAAAUAUACAAGACUAAGAAUGGUCCCUAAGGAAAACUAUGGACUUUGGGUGACAAUAAUGUGUCAAUAUAGAUUCAUGGGUUAUAAAAAAUACACCACAGUUUUCAGGAAUGUUGAUAGUGAAGGAGGUUGUAUGUGGGAGGGAACAGUGAGUAUGUGGGAACUCUCUGUACUUUUCUCUCAAUUUUGCUGUGAAACUUAAACAGCUCUAAAAAAAAUAAAAUUUAUUAUUUAAAAAAAAUCCACCACUAAAAAAAACAAGCAAUUCAAUUAAAAAUAAGCAAUAGACUUGAACUGAUACUUUACCAAAGAAAACAUAUGGAUAAUGAUAAAUGUUAUGAAAAGAUGUUCAAUGCCAUUAGACAUUAUGUCAGUGAAAAUGGAAAGAAUGAUGAGAUAUAACUGUAUCUAUGAGAGUGGCUUAUAUAAAAGAGGUACUGACAAUACCAAAUGCCAAUGAGAAUGCAGAGCAACUAUCUCUUACAUUGCUGUUAGAAAUGCAAAAUAGUAGCCUUUCAGGAAAACAGCUUGACAGUUCUAAUAAACAUGCACAUAAUAUAUGACUCAUCAAACUUACUUUUAGAUAUUUACUCUGGAGAAAUGAGAACUUAUGCUCACAGAAAACCCAUGUAAGAACAUUCUAUUUAUAAUCACUUGAAAGAACUGAAACAUCCUUCAAUCAGCUAAUGAAUAGAAAACAACUGAAGUGUCCUCCAAUGAGCUAAUGGAUAAAAAAGAAAUAUUUGUGGUACAUCAAUACAAUGGAAUAGUACUCACCUAUUUUUAGAAGAUGAAUGAUAGAGGCACACAACUUCUAUGAAACUCAAAAGUAAUAUGCCGAGUGAAAUAAAGACAAUCACAGGCUGGGCAUGGUGGCUCACGCCUGUAAUCCCAGCACUUUGGGAGGCUGAGGUGGGUGGAUCACGAGGUCAGGAGUUGGAGACCAUCCUGGCUAACAUGGUGAAACCCCGUCUCUACUAAAAAAUACAAAAAAUUAGCCAGGCAUGGUGGCGGACGCCUGUAGUCCCAGCUACUCGGGGGGCUAAGGCAGGAGAAUGGCAUGAACCCGGGAGGUAGAGCUUGCAGUAAGCGGAGACCUGCCACUGCACUCCAGCCUGGGCAACAGAGCAAGACUCCGUUUCGGAAAAGAAAAAAAAAAAAAGACAAUCACAAACAUAUAUGUUUGGUAUUAUUUCAUUUAUAUAACAUCUUCAAAAAUACAAUAAUAUAGAGUUAGGAAACAGAGCAGUGGUCAUCAUGAGAUCAUUGUAGGGGAAGGCAUAAAUUCAAAGGGAUAACAGAGAGUGUUUGGGGGUUAUGGGACUGAUCUAUAUUCUGAUUUUCAUGAUGGUUAUACAUAUGUUAAAAUAUUAGAACUAUACACCAAAAGAAGUGCAACUUACUCUAUGUUAAUUUUUAUUUAUUUUAUUUUUUUUUUAUUAUACUUUAAGUUCUAGGGUACAUGUGCACAACGUGCAGGUUUGUUACAUAUGUAUACAUGUGCCAUGUUGGUGUGCUGCACCCGUUAAUUCAUCAUUUACAUUAGGUAUAUCUCCCAGUGCUAUCCCUCCCCCCUCCCCCCACCCCACAACAGGCCCCAGUGUGUGAUGUUCCCCACCCCGUGUCCAAGUGAGUUCUCAUUGUUCAAUUCCCACCUAUGAGUGAGAACAUGAGGUGUUUGGUUUUCUUUCCUUGCAAUAGUUUGCUCAGAAUGAUGGUUUCCAGCUUCAUCCAUGUCCUUACAAAGGACAUUAACUCAUCCUUUUUUAUGGCUGCAUAGUAUUCCUUGGUGUAUAUGUGUUAAUUUUUAAUUAAUUGAUUAAUUUUCAAUUUUAUUUUUGAGACAAGGUCUUGCUCUGUUAUCCAGGCUGAAGUGUAGUGGCAUGAUCAUGGCUCACUGCAGCCUCGGCCUCCUGGGCUCAAGAGAUUCUCCCACCUCUCCCAGCCUCCAGAGUAGCUGAAACUAUAGGCAUACACCACCAUGCCCAGAUAAUUUUUUUAAAUUUUUUUGUAAAGACAGAAUCCUACUGUGUUGUCCAGGCUCACAUGCUAGUUUAAUAAAAAAAAAACAAAAUGAAACUCUAUGAAUUUGAUGAAAUUAUUAUUCUCAAUUUAUUCCUAAGUGAAGUUAAAAUGUUUUCCCAAGGUCACCUAACCAGUAUGCAUUAGGCUCAGUAAUCAACCUGAAAUAGUCAGAUUCCAUGAGUUAUACUCACGCAGUAGAGAGAAGUUUCAUAAAUUAUUGUUGAAUUAGUGCAGCAGGCAACGAAGAAGCAAUGAAUCAAAAGUCUAAUUACUUUGGACUCUGUUGCCAACAUGUUCAUCUACCUGGCAGGAAUUCUCCCAAGGACCUCAGUUAAGUAAGUCAAUAGAUCCAGGUCAAACAAGACAGAUGGCUAUUUUUGAAAACACAGAUCCCGAUACAACAGCAACAAUAGUACUAGUAAAGGUAAAGAAAGAUUGGAGAUAACCCAACUUAUUCAUUGACUCCCACAGGCACCUGCAACUCCCUUAAGCUCUGCCUCAGGGGGAUGUAGGAAGGCCACACCAGAGCUCAAAUAUGUCAAUCUUUCCCAGUCAGUAGUCAAUGAAGUAAAGUAAAACUAUGAGAACUGCUUACAGACAGUUUUAUGAGAUAAUGUUUUCAAAUUAUAUAUAUAUAUUCAUACAUACACAUAUGUACAAUUAUAUAUGUAAAAUGUAUACACAUAUAUACACACAUAGCCACUAUGCUAUAUGAUUUAAUCUAAAAUAAUAAAAAGGAAAUAUUUUCAAAAUAAUAAUUCUAGAAUGAUUUAGAUUGUUUUUAAAAAGUAACAGAGCAUUGACAUAAUUAGAGUUCAAUCACUGUUUAGAUGAUAGAAUUUUAAUCUAUGAAUAGAAUAAUGAAGAAUCCAACCUGGAAGUGUAUUAAAAUAAAGACUCUAACAUCAGAACAUCUUUUAAUGGAUAUCACCACAGUUAUUGGACAAAGGUGAAAAAAAUUAUUAUUGCAAUUUAUAUAAUUUUUAAAACUUUUCAUGUAAUUCCUGAAGCUAAUUUAAGCAUUCAUAACAUUCUUAUGCAAAGUGCUCUGUUAUAUAUAAAGGUAUUCCCUAUAAUAUGAUUAAGAACAACUAAAAAUAAAGUAUACUUUAUACUUUGCUCAAGAAACUAUGACCUCCUUUUUCAUUUGUUAAAUGCACAGUCUCAUUUCUCCCUCAAAGUCUUUGCCUUUGUUGUUUCUUCCAUUAAUCUCUGCUUGAUGGUCUUUUUCUACAUCCAAGUUUUAGCUCAGAUGUCAACAAAUGGUGGAAAUUUAUUAUUUCUUUUUGGCUGCCCAAUAUUUGAACUUCCAAUCUGGCCAUACCUCAUA
rnacentral:lncRNA from 1 species